rnacentral:rRNA from 1 species
AUACGGGGGGUGCAAGCGUUGUCCGGAAUCAUUGGGCGUAAAGGGUUCGUAGGUGGAAUUAUAAGUCUGGUGUGAAAGCCCACAGCUCAACUGUGGAACUGCACUGGAUACUGUUUUUCUUGAGUUAUAGAGGGGUUUGUGGAAUUUCUGGUGUAGAGGUGAAAUUUGUAGAGAUCAGAAAGAACACCGGUGGCGAAGGCGACAAACUGGCUAUUAACUGACACUGAGGAACGAAAGCGUGGGGAGCGAACAGGAUUAGAUACCCCAGUAGUCC